AGCGAACGCUGGCGGCAGGCUUAACACAUGCAAGUCGAGCGCCCCGCAAGGGGAGCGGCAGACGGGUGAGUAACGCGUGGGAAUCUACCCAUCUCUACGGAAUAACGCAUGGAAACGUGUGCUAAUACCGUAUACGUCCUUCGGGAGAAAGAUUUAUCGGAGAUGGAUGAGCCCGCGUUGGAUUAGCUAGUUGGUGGGGUAAAGGCCUACCAAGGCGACGAUCCAUAGCUGGUCUGAGAGGAUGAUCAGCCACACUGGGACUGAGACACGGCCCAGACUCCUACGGGAGGCAGCAGUGGGGAAUAUUGGACAAUGGGCGCAAGCCUGAUCCAGCCAUGCCGCGUGAGUGAUGUAGGCCCUAGGGUUGUAAAGCUCUUUCACCGGUGAGGAUAAUGACGGUAACCGGAGAAGAAGCCCCGGCUAACUUCGUGCCAGCCGCCGCCGUAAUAC
rnacentral:rRNA from 1 species